CAGACAGAACACUGCUAGAAAACCCUCUCAGGAUGACGGUUUGAAGGAGGACAAGGAAGAGAAUGUGGUUGGAGGACCAUAUAAACACUACCGGAGUUAGUCACCUGACAUUCUAUGCCAGACUUGGUGACAAGACCAUGAGGACACGAACCUUCAGCACGUGAAGAAGAGGUAGAGGGACCAUAUGGCUACAGCCAGGAAGCCAGAGCCUGACAGAGCAAGGCAGGCACAGAGAGCCAGUCUCGGGCUCUCCUGGACACCUUCCUACUAGCACAGGGACCCCUUCACACUGGACCUGUCAAUCACAGUGCUCUCUCUUAGCUCAGAGACACACAAGGUCUGGCUACGUGCAGUGUGGGGUAAGUAGCUCAGGCAUAUAGGAAUAACAAUAGCCUGGUUACAAGUAAAUGUAGAAACCUAUAUCUGGGCUGGAGAGAUGGCUCGGCAGUUGAGAGCACUGGCUGCUCCUGCAGAGCACUUGAGUUUGGUAUCUAGCACCAACAUGGACUGGCUCCCAACUGCCUGCAACCCCAGCCCCAGAACAAAUGCCAUUUUCUGGCCUCCAUAGGGACCUACAUGCACAUGGCAUGUAUACAGCACACAUGCACACACACACACCAAUCCUGAGGUACUGGAGAGAUGACUCAGUGGCUAAGGGUACAUGCUGCUCUUACAGAGCACAUCACACCAGCAGCUCACAACUGUCUGUAACUCCAGCUCUGGGGGAUCCACCCCUCCAGGAUCCACAGGUAACUAUACUCAUGUGCACACACAAACACUGAGAAACACACACACACAAUUACAAUAAAAUUAAAUCUUAAAAAAA
rnacentral:lncRNA from 1 species